rnacentral:rRNA from 1 species
ACACUCCUGCGGGAGGCAGCAGUGGGGAAUAUUGGACAAUGGGCGCAAGCCUGAUCCAGCCAUGCCGCGUGAGUGAUGAAGGCCCUAGGGUUGUAAAGCUCUUUCACCGGUGAAGAUAAUGACGGUAACCGGAGAAGAAGCCCCGGCUAACUUCGUGCCAGCAGCCGCGGUAAUACGAAGGGGGCUAGCGUUGUUCGGAUUUACUGGGCGUAAAGCGCACGUAGGCGGACUAUUAAGUCAGGGGUGAAAUCCCGGGGCUCAACCCCGGAACUGCCUUUGAUACUGGUAGUCUUGAGUUCGAGAGAGGUGAGUGGAAUUCCGAGUGUAGAGGUGAAAUUCGUAGAUAUUCGGAGGAACACCAGUGGCGAAGGCGGCUCACUGGCUCGAUACUGACGCUGAGGUGCGAAAGCGUGGGGAGCAAACAGGAUGAGAAACCCCUGUAGUCCCA